UACGUAGGGCGCAAGCGUUGUCCGGAAUUAUUGGGCGUAAAGAGCUCGUAGGCGGUUCGUCGCGUCGGCUGUGAAAACCCGGAGCUCAACUCCGGGCCUGCAGUCGAUACAGGCGGACUUGAGUGUUGCAGGGGAGACUGGAAUUCCUGGUGUAGCGGUGAAAUGCGCAGAUAUCAGGAGGAACACCGGUGGCGAAGGCGGGUCUCUGGGCAACUACUGACGCUGAGGAGCGAAAGCGUGGGGAGCGAACAGG
rnacentral:rRNA from 1 species